rnacentral:sRNA from 1 species
GGGUCCUCCUUGUCCUGCUCCAGGUGGUCUGGGCCCAGUGUCACCAUGAUUCACUCUUGUUUGGCCCACACGGCCUAUCGCUUGCACUGCUGGCUGCCGAGAACUCACCAGCUCAGGCUUUUAUUGACUUUUAGGCCCAGAUCUUCCCGAUAUUGCAGCCAACCUCUCCUGUACAACCUGGUUGGUAAUAUCAUCUUUACCUUCUUCACAAUUGGUUUUACUGUGCUGUUUGUUCAGAUGGAGCCACUGCCAUGGGCACUGAAGUGGAUGUUUUCUGCAUUUGGUGUGGGAUCCUUCAGUGAAGGAGUCUGUACUAUGGUGUUAACAGUUUUGGCAACACUGUGAAAAAACAACCCCUGAACUUUACUACUUGUCUGUGCCGCUGUCGGUGAGCAGCUUAGCUUCUACAG